GUCAUAUCUGUGGGGCAUUUUCUUAAUUACUAUUAAUGAAGGAGGAACCAACCCACUGUGGGUGGUGCUAUUCUUAUGCACCUGAGCAUGGUCUAUAUAAGAAAGGUAGCUGAGCACACGAGAAGAAGCAAGCCAGAGGAAGCCAGCCAAUAAGCAGCUUUACUCCAUGGUUUCUGCUUUCAGGUCCUGCUUUGUGUUCCUGCCUUGGCUUCCUUCACUGGUGGGUGAACCUGCAAGCUGAAAUAAACACUUCCUUCCCAAGUUGCUUUUGCCUAUGAUGCCUAUCACAGCAACAAAAUGAUGAAGAAGGACCUGCAGUUGCCAAAGAUCUCAUCACUACCAAAGUGGAACCACUUGUACCUCACUGGGACAGCAGGACAGAGCUUAUAAGCUGUGCUCAGAGUGGAUCACGCUACAUGUAAGAAGAACUCAAUCAGCAAUGAGCCCACACUUAAAAAACUUUGAACUUUUGAAGUAUUGGAGUUUUUGAAGACUUUGGGAGCCAAUAGGAGUUGGACUUAUUUUACAUUAUGAUAUUAACAUGAGACUUUUGGGACAAUGGAUGGAUUAUGACUUAGAGUAAUGUGUUUGUGUAUGAAUUGACAAGGACUGGCUGGACUUAAUUUUAACUGUUAACUUGACAACUUGCAAGCACCUGGGAGGAGUCUCGAUGAUAAGCUAUUUAAGUUAACUUGGGGGAAUGUCUUUGGAGGAUAGUAUUGAUUUUUAAUUGAGGCAGGAAGAAUCACCGUGAAUAUGUGAGGCACAGUUUCACAGACUGGGUCCUAAACUGUAAGAGUGAAGAAAGUGGCAGGCAAGCAAGCAAAGAUGUGCAUGUUCUCUUUUUGUUUCUGACAGUGGAUGUGAUGCUCCCAGCUGCUUAAAUUCUUGCCUCGACUUUCCUGCAACAAUGGACUGUA